UAGGGAAUCUUCCGCAAUGGACGCAAGUCUGACGGAGCAACGCCGCGUGAGUGAAGAAGGAUUUCGGUUCGUAAAACUCUGUUGUUAGAGAAGAACAGCGCAUAGAGUAACUGUUAUGCGUGUGACGGUAUCUAACCAGAAAGCCACGGCUAACUACGUGCCAGCAGCCGCGGUAAUACGUAGGUGGCAAGCGUUGUCCGGAUUUAUUGGGCGUAAAGCGAGCGCAGGCGGUCAAUUAAGUCUGAUGUGAAAGCCCCCGGCUCAACCGGGGAGGGUCAUUGGAAACUGGUUGACUUGAGUGCAGAAGAGGAGAGUGGAAUUCCAUGUGUAGCGGUGAAAUGCGUAGAUAUAUGGAGGAACACCAGUGGCGAAGGCGACUCUCUGGUCUGUAACUGACGCUGAGGCUCGAAAGGGUGGGUAGCAAACAGG
rnacentral:rRNA from 1 species